rnacentral:rRNA from 1 species
AGUGAACGCUGGCGGUAGGCCUAACACAUGCAAGUCGAACGGCAGCACAGUAGGAGCUUGCUCUUACGGGUGGCGAGUGGCGGACGGGUGAGGAAUACAUCGGAAUCUACUUUUUCGUGGGGGAUAACGUAGGGAAACUUACGCUAAUACCGCAUACGACCUACGGGUGAAAGCAGGGGAUCUUCGGACCUUGCGCGAUUGAAUGAGCCGAUGUCGGAUUAGCUAGUUGGCGGGGUAAAGGCCCACCAAGGCGACGAUCCGUAGCUGGUCUGAGAGGAUGAUCAGCCACACUGGAACUGAGACACGGUCCAGACUCCUACGGGAGGCAGCAGUGGGGAAUAUUGGACAAUGGGCGCAAGCCUGAUCCAGCCAUACCGCGUGGGUGAAGAAGGCCUUCGGGCUGUAAAGCCCUUUUGUUGGGAAAGAAAAGCAGCAGGUUAAUACCCCGCUGUUCUGACGGUACCCAAAGGAUAAGCACCGGCUAACUUCGUG